GUACUGCUUAAGAGUCUCAAACUAGGACGAAACAGCUGUCCAGUAC
rfam:Trichobilharzia regenti genome assembly, scaffold: TRE_scaffold0013385